CCUACGGGAGGCAGCAGUGGGGAAUAUUGCACAAUGGGCGCAAGCCUGAUGCAGCCAUGCCGCGUGUAUGAAGAAGGCCUUCGGGUUGUAAAGUACUUUCAGUCGUGAGGAAGGGGGUAUCGUUAAUAGCGGUAUUCUUUGACGUUAGCGACAGAAGAAGCACCGGCCAACUCCGUGCCAGCAGCCGCGGUAAU
rnacentral:rRNA from 1 species